ACUGCCCCCCUCCCCUCAAUUCCCUCCUAUCCCCAUUCUACCAUUCAUCUCUCUCGUCUCUCAAAAUUUCUCUUUCAAGUCUCAGACUCUCAGUUUCUCUCUCUCUCACAAUCAAAACCCUAGCCCUAUGAGUCGCUGCCGUCUCCAACCCCUCCGCCGCGACUCGCCGCGACUCGCCAAGUUGCCCUCUCCCUCCAUUGGUUCCUUCCUGUAAUACAAGAUGCUUGCUGAAUCCCCCCACAAGUCUACAGCAGCAGGACAUGUCCAAAGGACAUGUAAAGUGUUUUCCUCAGCUUUGGUACAGAUGGGACAUGAAACAUAUUCUACAAUUUUUCCCUGCAGCUUGCUCAUUGUUGGUAAUAUAUCCUGAAGGGCCUUCCACAAGAAUUGCUUCACCUUGCCAGAAACUUGUAGUUGCCAUAAUUUCCUCCAUUGCAAACCAUCAUCAGAAUCUCUGGAAGCCUGCUGUCUAGCCUGUUUGUUUAUCUCAAGUUCCACAAAUUAUGCACUCUUAACAGUAAAAAGCCCUUUUGGAGAAUUCACCCAUA